rnacentral:tRNA from 1 species
AGAGUUGUAGCUCAGCGGUAGAGUGCUUACCUUGCAUGUGUGAGGCACUGGGUUUGAAUCUCAGCACUUCAU